GCCGGGCGUGGUGGUGCGUGCCUGUAGUCCCAGCUACUUGGGAGGCUGAGGCAGAAGAAUCACUUGAACCCGGGAGGUGGAGGUUGCAGUGAGCCAAGAUCAUGCCACUGCACUCCAGCCUGGGCAACAGAGCGAGACUCUGUCUCAA
ensembl:misc_RNA Metazoa_SRP Metazoan signal recognition particle RNA